ensembl:lncRNA
AGACAGUUAAAGAGACAGAGAGACAUUAAAGAUGACAGACAGACAGUUAAAGAGACAGACAGACAGACAGUUAAAGAGACAGACAGACAGUUAAAGAGACAGACAGGCAGACAGUUAAAGAGACAGACAGACAGACACUUAAAUAGACAGACAGAGAGACAGACAGUUAAAGAUACAGACAGAGAGAGAUAAAUAAACUGACAUGUUUAUUAUGUAAAUGAUGGCUUUGUGUCCAUUGUUAAUGAAAUAAAAUGGAAUGGAAUUGAAGACAGACAGAUUGUGAUGUAAUAUAUUGGAACUUGUCUCAGUGUUAAACAUUCAAAAGCGCGCGCGCAGACACCUCACCACACACACACACACACACACACACACA